rnacentral:tRNA from 1 species
CGGGGUGGUGUAACGGCAGCACAUUAGGCUCAUAACCUGAAGGUUCAGUUCGAUUCUGGCGACCGCAACCA